rnacentral:rRNA from 1 species
AACGAACGCUGGCGGCAGGCCUAACACAUGCAAGUCGAGCGCCCUUUCGGGGGAGCGGCGGCCGGGUGAGUACCGCGUGGGAAUAUGCCCUUCUCUACGGAAUAGCCUCGGGAAACUGAGAGUAAUACCGUAUACGCCCUGUGGGGGAAAGAUUUAUCGGGAAAGGAUUAGACCGCGUUGGCUUAGGUAGUUGGUGGGGAAAUGGCCUACCAAGCCGACGAUCCAUAGCUGGUUUGAGAGGAUGAUCAGCCACACUGGGACUGAGACACGGCCCAGACUCCUACGGGAGGCAGCAGUGGGGAAUCUUAGACAAUGGGGGCAACCCUGAUCAAGCCAUGCCGCGUGAGUGAUGAAGGCCUUAGGGUUGUAAAGCUCUUUCAGCUGGGAAGAUAAUGACGGUACCAGCAGAAGAAGCCCCGGCUAACUCCGUG